rnacentral:lncRNA from 1 species
GUUCUUUCUCUAUAGGACGAGGAUUAAGUGUUUCAGAAGUAUUAGCUAAUGGCCCACGGCCUUCACUUCAUUUCCUUGGAGAAGAUUUAUCUUUCUUUGUGUCUGCGCUGGGUAGCACGCUUACUGGUUUGGGAAACGCUCUUCUGCACCAUAAACACAACUCUGAUGUCUCUGUGUUUACUGGGUUGAAACUCAAGAGAUGAAGAGAAGGGUAUUUUCAAGAGCUCUUCAUGAACUCCAACAAGACUGGCUGCGGGUGCUGGCUGCGGGUGAAGCUCAGUGGUAGAGCCCUUGCCUAGCAUGUAUGAGGCCUUGGGUUCAAUCCCCGGCACCAAAUAAAAGGGGAGAUGGGAAAGACCUAAAAUGCAAAUCAGACUUGAUAUAUUUGAUCCCUCCCUGUGACUAAAAUUUAGAUUUCAUUUUAAAACAUGAAAAUAAUGAUUUGAAUGUUUCAGAACCACUGGAGUUGAAAAUUCGCACAUGGAUGAGUUCCAUGAAUUCACAUGCUUAAUUGCUCAUUAAGAUGGUUACCUUGGCAACAGCAACAUCAGAUGACAGCUUUUACAAUUCUGACCUAGAGAGAACCUUCUUAAAGUAACUCAACAGCAUUAAGCAAAACAUUAAGUAAAAAAUGAUGUCUUUACAAGCUACUAAAAUUUUUAUAUAUCAAAUAAAAAUUUCCUAUCAAGUAUAAAACUCUCAGAACUGUAGACAUUAAAUGCAGAAUGUAUAAUUAUUCUUUAUUACAGUUGAAUGGGCUUCUCUUAUAAACUGUGGUAUAAUUUCCAAUUUUUUGAUCUGACCAUUUCUGAAAAACAGAAAAAAAAAAUGAUACUGGUAAUAUCUAUAUGUGCAAUUUAACCUUUUAUAGGUAUGCUGUCAAUAAAACAUUCCACUUCAAUAAACAUUUAUUUUAU